rnacentral:rRNA from 1 species
UACGGAGGAUCCAAGCGUUAUCCGGAUUCAUUGGGUUUAAAGGGUGCGUAGGCGGAAUGAUAAGUCAGUGGUGAAAUCCUGCAGCUUAACUGCAGAACUGCCAUUGAUACUGUCAAUCUUGAGUACAUUUUGAUGUGGGCGGAAUGUGUCAUGUAGCGGUGAAAUGCUUAGAUAUGACACAGAACACCGAUUGCGAAGGCAGCUCACAAAACUGUAACUGACGCUGAGGCACGAAAGCGUGGGUAUCAAACAGG